ACUCCUACGGGAGGCAGCAGUAGGGAAUCUUCCACAAUGGGCGCAAGCCUGAUGGAGCAACACCGCGUGAGUGAAGAAGGGUUUCGGCUCGUAAAGCUCUGUUGUUAAAGAAGAACAACGUAAUGAGAGUAACUGUUCAUACGUUGACGGUAUUUAACCAGAAAGUCACGGCUAACUACGUGCCAGCAGCCGCGGUAAUACGUAGGUGGCAAGCGUUAUCCGGAUUUAUUGGGCGUAAAGAGAGUGCAGGCGGUUUUCUAAGUCUGAUGUGAAAGCCUUCGGCUUAACCGGAGAAGUGCAUCGGAAACUGGAUAACUUGAGUGCAGAAGAGGGUAGUGGAACUCCAUGUGUAGCGGUGGAAUGCGUAGAUAUAUGGAAGAACACCAGUGGCGAAGGCGGCUACCUGGUCUGCAACUGACGCUGAAGACU
rnacentral:rRNA from 1 species